UGAAAGUUGGAACGUGAAGGGAAGGAAGAGGAUAAGUUGUGAAAACAAGAAGGGCAUUGAAAAUGUGUUUGAAUUAAGAAAUGUUUAAGACUACACAUCAGUCAAAGUAACAUGUUACAUAACAGUAAAAAAUCGAAUCUCCGCCACAACCUACAUGUUUUACCACAGUAAUAAUUCAACGAAGGAUUCAAUAGAAGGGACUACGCGUCUGGAGAGAUUACAUGUUACAUAACAGUAAAAAAUCGAAUCUCCGCCACAACCUACAUGUUUUACCACAGUAAUAAUUCAACGAAGGAUUCAAUAGAAGGGACUACGCGUCUGGAGAGAUCUUUCCACCAACAAAUUCGUACAUACGACCCUCAUUCAGGGACCACAUGAAAUCUGAGAAGGAUUCGUUUUUCCGAGGGAACAAUUUGUUACGAUUUGCCAGCUCAGGGUGAGGAUAC
rnacentral:lncRNA from 1 species